AGUGGUUUACAGCAUGCGAUACAAUACAAUGCGUAUUCCACAUGUCACUUCCUCCUCGUCCACUGCUGAUGGCAUCAACAAGCUGGUUGACCUGAUCUCUACUCUGUGGAUGAGUGAGCGAGGAGACUGAAGUUGAGUGCUGCUGUUAGAGUGGUAUUAAACCUCCAAGCUAUCGGUGAAUGGGGUGGAAGAACGUGUUUACCACAGAAUGUCAACUAACUCACGUCAAGCAUAUCAAUGUGAAGUCUCCCUUGAAGACUGAUGAAAUCUGGAGAUUCAUGAUAUUUUAUCUCCCUUUUGAAAGUGUAUUUAUUUCAAAGUAUUUACUGUUUCCUGCUCCAGG